UACGUAGGGUGCAAGCGUUAAUCGGAAUUACUGGGCGUAAAGCGUGCGCAGGCGGUUCUAUAAGACAGAUGUGAAAUUCCCGGGCUCAACCUGGGAACUGCAUUUGUGACUGUAGAGCUGGAGGGCGGCAGAGGGGGAUGGAAUUCCGCGUGUAGCAGUGAAAUGCGUAGAUAUGCGGAGGAACACCGAUGGCGAAGGCAAUCCCCUGGGCCUGCACUGACGCUCAUGCACGAAAGCGUGGGGAGCAAACAGG
rnacentral:rRNA from 1 species